UGGUGGGUUGCCUUGUCAGGUUGAUUCCGGUAACGAACGAGACCUCAGCCUGCUAAAUAGUUACUCCUACUUUGGUAGGAGGCAACUUCUUAGAGGGACUAUUGGCGUUUAGCUAAUGGAAGUGUGAGGCAAUAACA
rnacentral:rRNA from 1 species